UCAAUGCCUUUAAAACGGAGGGAGAGCAGCACAGCGCUUAGAUGCUGCGCCGCGGAUUUGCCAGAUGGAUGGAUAAGGAUGCUGUUGGUGGUGGAUGGAUUUUCACGUGGCAUAGCAAGGUGCUGUGAGGAAAAACUCAGUGACUCGUUCAGCCACGGACGAGGAGGUCACAAAGCAUGCCAUCAGGUUCAACCUGGCAGAAGAUCGGGCCACUAGGAGACGUCCCGCCUCCUUCCAAACGGAGUAGCCUAAGCUAAUAAGAGAAAUAAGAAUUAAAAAAUAUUUUUUAUUGAA